rnacentral:rRNA from 1 species
CCUACGGGAGGCAGCAGUGAGGAAUAUUGGUCAAUGGGCUAAGGCCUGAACCAGCCAAGUCGCGUGAGGGAAGACGGUCCUAUGGAUUGUAAACCUCUUUUGUCGGGGAGCAACGAGGCCACGUGUGGCCGAAGUGAGAGUACCCGAAGAAAAAGCAUCGGCUAACUCCGUGCCAGCAGCCGCGGUAAUACGGAGGAUCCGAGCGUUAUCCGGAUUUAUUGGGUUUAAAGGGAGCGUAGGUGGAUUGUUAAGUCAGUUGUGAAAGUUUGCGGCUCAACCGUAAAAUUGCAGUUGAAACUGGCAGUCUUGAGUACAGUAGAGGUGGGCGGAAUUCGUGGUGUAGCGGUGAAAUGCUUAGAUAUCACGAAGAACUCCGAUUGCGAAGGCAGCUCACUGGACUGCAACUGACACUGAGGCUCGAAAGUGUGGGUAUCAAACAGGAUUAGAUACCCCAGUAGUC